UUGCAUGUACACCUGCAGUAAAGCAAAGAUGUAUAUUCAGAGCCCUAAAGUUCCUUUUAAUAUACUCUAUGAUUUAGAAUGGCUUUCCUGGUAAGAGGCUUCAAGACAGCAUUGAAUAUGCUUCCUAAGUCAGGUCUGACCCUACCUACAGCCACAGCUGCCACUGCACCCUCUUCCACAAGAACAUCUUGCUAGAAUACCCUCCUGAAUUUGCAGAAUGGCACUAAAAAAUAUGGUUUCAUAUUCAGAUCC